rnacentral:rRNA from 1 species
GAUGAACGCUAUCUACAGGCUUAACACAUGCAAGUCGAGGGGCAGCAUGGUCUUAGCUUGCUAAGGCCGAUGGCGACCGGCGCACGGGUGAGUAACACGUAUCCAACCUGCCGUCUACUCUUGGACAGCCUUCUGAAAGGAAGAUUAAUACAAGAUGGCAUCAUGAGUCCGCAUGUUCACAUGAUUAAAGGUAUUCCGGUAGACGAUGGGGAUGCGUUCCAUUAGAUAGUAGGCGGGGUAACGGCCCACCUAGUCUUCGAUGGAUAGGGGUUCUGAGAGGAAGGUCCCCCACAUUGGAACUGAGACACGGUCCAAACUCCUACGGGAGGCAGCAGUGAGGAAUAUUGGUCAAUGGGCGAGAGCCUGAACCAGCCAAGUAGCGUGAAGGAUGACUGCCCUAUGGGUUGUAAACUUCUUUUAUAAAGGAAUAAAGUCGGGUAUGGAUACCCGUUUGCAUGUACUUUAUGAAUAAGGAUCGGCUAACUCCGUGCCAGCAGCCGCGGUAAUACGGAGGAUCCGAGCGUUAUCCGGAUUUAUUGGGUUUAAAGGGAGCGUAGAUGGAUGUUUAAGUCAGUUGUGAAAGUUUGCGGCUCAACCGUAAAAUUGCAGUUGAUACUGGAUAUCUUGAGUGCAGUUGAGGCAGGCGGAAUUCGUGGUGUAGCGGUGAAAUGCUUAGAUAUCACGAAGAACUCCGAUUGCGAAGGCAGCCUGCUAAGCUGCAACUGACAUUGAGGCUCGAAAGUGUGGGUAUCAAACAGGAUUAGAUACCCUGGUAGUCCACACGGUAAACGAUGAAUACUCGCUGUUUGCGAUAUACUGCAAGCGGCCAAGCGAAAGCGUUAAGUAUUCCACCUGGGGAGUACGCCGGCAACGGUGAAACUCAAAGGAAUUGACGGGGGCCCGCACAAGCGGAGGAACAUGUGGUUUAAUUCGAUGAUACGCGAGGAACCUUACCCGGGCUUAAAUUGCAGAUGAAUUACGGUGAAAGCCGUAAGCCGCAAGGCAUCUGUGAAGGUGCUGCAUGGUUGUCGUCAGCUCGUGCCGUGAGGUGUCGGCUUAAGUGCCAUAACGAGCGCAACCCUUGUUGUCAGUUACUAACAGGUUCCGCUGAGGACUCUGACAAGACUGCCAUCGUAAGAUGUGAGGAAGGUGGGGAUGACGUCAAAUCAGCACGGCCCUUACGUCCGGGGCUACACACGUGUUACAAUGGGGGGUACAGAGGGCCGCUACCACGCGAGUGGAUGCCAAUCCCCAAAACCUCUCUCAGUUCGGACUGGAGUCUGCAACCCGACUCCACGAAGCUGGAUUCGCUAGUAAUCGCGCAUCAGCCACGGCGCGGUGAAUACGUUCCCGGGCCUUGUACACACCGCCCGUCAAGCCAUGGGAGCCGGGGGUACCUGAAGUGCGUAACCGCGAGGAGCGCCCUAGGGUAAAACUGGUGACUGGGGCUAAGUC